AUUGAACGCUGGCGGCAGGCUUAACACAUGCAAGUCGAGCGGUAGCACAGGGGAGCUUGCUCCCUGGGUGACGAGCGGCGGACGGGUGAGUAAUGUCUGGGAAACUGCCUGAUGGAGGGGGAUAACUACUGGAAACGGUAGCUAAUACCGCAUAACGUCGCAAGACCAAAGAGGGGGACCUUCGGGCCUCUUGCCAUCAGGUGUGCCCAGAUGGGAUUAGCUAGUAGGUGGGGUAAUGGCUCACCUAGGCGACGAUCCCUAGCUGGUCUGAGAGGAUGACCAGCCACACUGGAACUGAGACACGGUCCAGACUCCUACGGGAGGCAGCAGUGGGGAAUAUUGCACAAUGGGCGCAAGCCUGAUGCAGCCAUGCCGCGUGUGUGAAGAAGGCCUUCGGGUUGUAAAGCACUUUCAGCGAGGAGGAAGGUGGUGAGCUUAAUACGUUCAUCAAUUGACGUUACUCGCAGAAGAAGCACCGGCUAACUCCGUG
rnacentral:rRNA from 1 species